rnacentral:rRNA from 1 species
GGUCAAGUGAAGAAGCGCAUACGGUGGAUGCCUUGGCAGUCAGAGGCGAUGAAAGACGUGGUAGCCUGCGAAAAGCUUCGGGGAGUCGGCAAACAGACUUUGAUCCGGAGAUCUCUGAAUGGGGGAACCCACCUAGGAUAACCUAGGUAUCUUGUACUGAAUCCAUAGGUGCAAGAGGCGAACCAGGGGAACUGAAACAUCUAAGUACCCUGAGGAAAAGAAAUCAACCGAGAUUCCCUUAGUAGUGGCGAGCGAACGGGGAUUAGCCCUUAAGCUUCAUUGAUUUUAGCGGAACGCUCUGGAAAGUGCGGCCAUAGUGGGUGAUAGCCCCGUACGCGAAAGGAUCUUUGAAGUGAAAUCGAGUAGGACGGAGCACGAGAAACUUUGUCUGAACAUGGGGGGACCAUCCUCCAAGGCUAAAUACUACUGACUGACCGAUAGUGAACCAGUACCGUGAGGGAAAGGCGAAAAGAACCCCGGAGAGGGGAGUGAAAUAGAACCUGAAACCGUAUGCGUACAAGCAGUGGGAGCCUACUUGUUAGGUGACUGCGUACCUUUUGUAUAAUGGGUCAGCGACUUAUAUUCAGUGGCAAGCUUAACCGUAUAGGGUAGGCGUAGCGAAAGCGAGUCUUAAUAGGGCGUUUAGUCGCUGGGUAUAGACCCGAAACCGGGCGAUCUAUCCAUGAGCAGGUUGAAGGUUAGGUAACACUGACUGGAGGACCGAACCCACUCCCGUUGAAAAGGUAGGGGAUGACUUGUGGAUCGGAGUGAAAGGCUAAUCAAGCUCGGAGAUAGCUGGUUCUCCUCGAAAGCUAUUUAGGUAGCGCCUCAUGUAUCACUCUGGGGGGUAGAGCACUGUUUCGGCUAGGGGGUCAUCCCGACUUACCAAACCGAUGCAAACUCCGAAUACCCAGAAGUGCCGAGCAUGGGAGACACACGGCGGGUGCUAACGUCCGUCGUGAAAAGGGAAACAACCCAGACCGCCAGCUAAGGUCCCAAAGUUGUGGUUAAGUGGUAAACGAUGUGGGAAGGCUUAGACAGCUAGGAGGUUGGCUUAGAAGCAGCCACCCUUUAAAGAAAGCGUAAUAGCUCACUAGUCGAGUCGGCCUGCGCGGAAGAUGUAACGGGGCUCAAACCACACACCGAAGCUGCGGGUGUCACGUAAGUGACGCGGUAGAGGAGCGUUCUGUAAGCCUGUGAAGGUGAGUUGAGAAGCUUGCUGGAGGUAUCAGAAGUGCGAAUGCUGACAUGAGUAACGACAAUGGGUGUGAAAAACACCCACGCCGAAAGACCAAGGGUUCCUGCGCAACGUUAAUCGACGCAGGGUUAGUCGGUUCCUAAGGCGAGGCUGAAAAGCGUAGUCGAUGGGAAACAGGUUAAUAUUCCUGUACUUCUGGUUACUGCGAUGGAGGGACGGAGAAGGCUAGGCCAGCUUGGCGUUGGUUGUCCAAGUUUAAGGUGGUAGGCUGAAAUCUUAGGUAAAUCCGGGGUUUCAAGGCCGAGAGCUGAUGACGAGUCGUCUUUUAGAUGACGAAGUGGUUGAUGCCAUGCUUCCAAGAAAAGCUUCUAAGCUUCAGGUAACCAGGAACCGUACCCCAAACCGACACAGGUGGUCGGGUAGAGAAUACCAAGGCGCUUGAGAGAACUCGGGUGAAGGAACUAGGCAAAAUGGCACCGUAACUUCGGGAGAAGGUGCGCCGGCUAGGGUGAAGGAUUUACUCCGUAAGCUCUGGCUGGUCGAAGAUACCAGGCCGCUGCGACUGUUUAUUAAAAACACAGCACUCUGCAAACACGAAAGUGGACGUAUAGGGUGUGACGCCUGCCCGGUGCCGGAAGGUUAAUUGAUGGGGUUAGCGCAAGCGAAGCUCUUGAUCGAAGCCCCGGUAAACGGCGGCCGUAACUAUAACGGUCCUAAGGUAGCGAAAUUCCUUGUCGGGUAAGUUCCGACCUGCACGAAUGGCGUAACGAUGGCGGCGCUGUCUCCACCCGAGACUCAGUGAAAUUGAAAUCGCUGUGAAGAUGCAGUGUAUCCGCGGCUAGACGGAAAGACCCCGUGAACCUUUACUGUAGCUUUGCACUGGACUUUGAGCCUGCUUGUGUAGGAUAGGUGGGAGGCUUUGAAGCGUGGACGCCAGUUCGCGUGGAGCCAUCCUUGAAAUACCACCCUGGCAUGCUUGAGGUUCUAACUCUGGUCCGUGAUCCGGAUCGAGGACAGUGUAUGG